rnacentral:lncRNA from 1 species
GAACCCAGUCAGGUCCAUUUCUAGGUUGUGGAAGCAUUGUUCUUUUGCUCUUCACAAUAAAUUUUGCUGCUCCUCACUGUUUGGGUCCAUGUGACCUUUAAAGCUUUCUUUAACAUUUAAGGUCCGUGGCUUCAUUCUUGAAGUUAGCGAGAUGGAGACCACAAGCCCACUGAAAGGAACCAACUGCAGACACAAUGCAUGUGAGAAAGACUCAGCCCUAUUUUCUGGCUUUGAAGCUGGAGGAAGGAGCCAGGAGCAAAAGAAUGAAGACAGUUUCCAGAAGCUGCAAAAGGGCAGGGACAGAUUCACUCCAGGAAGCCCCAGAAACAAACACAGUCCUGCUGACACCUUGAUUUCAAUCCAGUGAGACAUAUUUUGGACUUCUGACCUACAGAGCUAAAAUAAUAGUAAGAUAAUAAAGUUAUGUUGCCACCACUGAAAACAGUUUUAUUUUGCUUUGGUUUAAGCUAACUGAGCUAAUACAGCUGCCGUAUUUUAUGACACUUGCCUAAGGAAGACUUCCCAUCCCUGCACUGCUCCCGGCUAACCAGUCCUUUCUCGGGACUCCUGGAAACCUCCCACUCUCAGAGAGGUGUAGGGUAUAAAAAUCACAAGCUGAUGGCUCAGGAUGUAGCAAAUAAAAAUACAAGACCAAAACGAAACCCAACCGGAACACCGAGUUAAACGUGAAUUGACCAUGCGAUAUUUGGGACAUACUUAACACUAAAAAUUACUGGUUGUGUAUCUGAAAUUUACCUUUAACUGGGCUCAUGUAUUUUACCGGGCAACCCUACCCCCCGGUCACAGUGAGACUACACACGGGGUCUUUUGGUCAUUUUGCAAGUGUAAAAGAC